rnacentral:tRNA from 1 species
AGGGAGACCUAAUUCGGGUAGGAGACGAAAAAAAAGUAGUCCCUACCAAGAAUCAAUCCCAAAAGGUCGGAACGAGGUAUGUGGCUUUCAAACUAGGUUCUGGGUUCAUAAAAGACCUGAAUCAGGAACAAGGGCUAUUAGCUCAGGUGGUUAGAGCGCACCCCUGAUAAGGGUGAGGUCCCUGGUUCGAGUCCAGGAUGGCCCACCUGCACAGGUGGCAAAAACAAGAGAAACGAGGAAUCAGCACCUUAUCUUACUCAUAUAGUAGGAGAGAAUGCUGGCUCUGAGUACAGAGUCCAGAGGAACCUUGAAAACUGCAUAGAGCUAGGUGAAAAAGCCAAAAAAGAAGACCGCAA